UACGUAGGUGGCAAGCGUUGUCCGGAAUUAUUGGGCGUAAAGCGCGCGCAGGCGGCUUCUUAAGUCUGAUGUGAAAUCUCGGGGCUCAACCCCGAGCGGCCAUUGGAAACUGGGAGCUUGAGUACAGAAGAGGAGAGUGGAACUCCACGUGUAGCGGUGAAAUGCGUAGAUAUGUGGAGGAACACCAGUGGCGAAGGCGACUCUCUGGUCUGUAACUGACGCUGAGGCGCGAAAGCGUGGGGAGCAAACAGG
rnacentral:rRNA from 1 species